rnacentral:rRNA from 1 species
CAGUCGCCGCGGUAAAACGUAGGUGGCAAGCGUUGUCCGGAAUUAUUGGGCGUAAAGGGCUCGCAGGCGGUUUCUUAAGUCUGAUGUGAAAGCCCCCGGCUCAACCGGGGAGGGUCAUCGGAAACUGGGAAACUUGAGUGCAGAAGAGGAGAGUGGAAUUCCACGUGUAGCGGUGAAAUGCGUAGAGAUGUGGAGGAACGCCAGUGGCGAAGGCGACUCUCUGGUCUGUAACUGACGCUGAGGAGCGAAAGCGUGGGGAGCGAACAGGAUUAGAGACCCGCGUAGUUCCUGUCUCUUAUAC